AUUGAACGCUGGCGGCAUGCCUUACACAUGCAAGUCGAACGGCAGCACGGGAGCAAUCCUGGUGGCGAGUGGCGAACGGGUGAGUAAAGUAUCGGAACGUGCCCAGUCGUGGGGGAUCACGUAGCGAAAGUUACGCUAAUACCGCAUACGACCGAUGGAUGAAAGCGGGGGAGCGCAACACCUCUCGGGGUUGGAACGGCCGAUAUCAGAUUAGGUAGUCGGGGGGGUAAAGGCUCACCAAGCCGACGAGCUGUAGCUGGUCGGAGAGGACGGCCAGACACACUGGGACUGAGACACGGCCCAGACUCCUACGGGGGGCAGCAGUGGGGAAUUUUGGACAAUGGGCGAAAGCCUGAUCCAGCCAUGCCGCGUGCAGGAUGAAGGCCUUCGGGUUGUAAACUGCUUUUGUACGGAACGAAAAGGUUUGGCCUAAUAAGCUGAGCUCAUGACGGUACCGUAAGAAUAAGCACCGACUAACUACGUGCCAGCCGCCGCCGUAA
rnacentral:rRNA from 1 species